rnacentral:rRNA from 1 species
UACGUAGGCAGCAAGCGUUGUUCGGAGUUACUGGGCGUAAAGGGUGCGUAGGCGGCCUUAUAAGUAUGGUGUGAAAUCUCCCGGCUUAACUGGGAGGGUGCGCUAUAGACUGUGGGGCUAGAGUGUGGGAGAGGAAAGUGGAAUUCCUGGUGUAGCGGUGAAAUGCGUAGAUAUCAGGAGGAACACCGGUGGUGUAAACGGCUUUCUGGACCAUAACUGACGCUGAGGCACGAAAGCGUGGGUAGCAAACAGG